rnacentral:rRNA from 1 species
UCUUUGAUUCUUCGGAUGAAGAGGUUUGUGACUGAGUGGCGGACGGGUGAGUAACGCGUGGGUAACCUGCCUCAUACAGGGGGAUAACAGUUAGAAAUGACUGCUAAUACCGCAUAAGACCACGGAGCCGCAUGGCUCAGUGGGAAAAACUCCGGUGGUAUGAGAUGGACCCGCGUCUGAUUAGGUAGUUGGUGGGGUAACGGCCUACCAAGCCAACGAUCAGUAGCCGACCUGAGAGGGUGACCGGCCACAUUGGGACUGAGACACGGCCCAAACUCCUACGGGAGGCAGCAGUGGGGAAUAUUGCACAAUGGGGGAAACCCUGAUGCAGCGACGCCGCGUGAGCGAAGAAGUAUUUCGGUAUGUAAAGCUCUAUCAGCAGGGAAGAAAAUGACGGUACCUGACUAAGAAGCACCGGCUAAAUACGUGCCAGCAGCCGCGGUAAUACGUAUGGUGCAAGCGUUAUCCGGAUUUACUGGGUGUAAAGGGAGCGUAGACGGCUGUGUAAGUCUGAAGUGAAAGCCCGGGGCUCAACCCCGGGACUGCUUUGGAAACUAUGCAGCUAGAGUGUCGGAGAGGUAAGUGGAAUUCCCAGUGUAGCGGUGAAAUGCGUAGAUAUUGGGAGGAACACCAGUGGCGAAGGCGG